UGCUCAGGCACUGAGGCCUCAUGUCUCCCUC
rnacentral:piRNA from 1 species